ensembl:lncRNA
CAUUGACCGCAGUGCUGCCAGAAACCCUUCACAGGCUGAGAUUUUACAGCACACAGUGUACCUCCACAUUUUCACCCCUCCUUCAUCCUGUGGGGCCCACAGUAUAUGUCUCAUUUUAGAAAGCUGGCAGACGUUAACAGAUAAGACUUUGGGUCUUUGGUGGUCAUUGUUAUGUUGCACUUAUCUAAUAUUUGCUUCUAAAAAGCAAGGGGGGAAGAGUCGCCAUCUGGCAGGUUGCUGGAAAUCAUAAAUAUUCAGGAUAAAAAUACUCUUUGAUUUUUACUGGAAUCUGUUCAGACCUGCUUUGGCCUUUAUUUCAUUUAGACAGUGCAGAUCUGUCAGGAUGUCAAGAAAUCUCAACCAUGAAAGAAAAAACACAAACACUUACAUUUGCAGAAGCUUAUUAGGAUUAUCAAACUACUUCAUUUGAAAAUGAAAGCAACUCAUUGUAAAAGAGUUGAGUCAGGAAGUCUUUCUCCAAACUUCGAGUGUUUUUAAGUUAUCUAAGGUUACAGCUUCCUCUGAGGCUCCACAGUGUGCAGAGAACAGAUGCCAGUCGGACCCUUUUAGAUCUUGACAUGUUUGUUUUUUUCUUAAGGAAGUAGUUCAUGAAAGUCACAGUGUGAAAUGUUCUUUUUCUGUUAGAACCUUGUUUGUUGGUCCAGUUCAGAUGUUACUGAUGGGGGCGUUCUGUUGCAAAACUACAGAAUCAUGAACCUGGACUACAAACAGGUCCUCUUAGAUUUCUUUGCUGGUCGUGCAGGCUGACCAAAGACAAUCCAGUGAAAAUAGCACUUUAUUACCAAAUAUUUGUAAUAGGAAAUGUUAUUCUCUCUGCUGUCUACUCAUACUCAGCGCAAGAUUUUCUUAUGUGGGUCAUAUGAGUUGUUGGAAGGUAUUAUUUCUUUUAAUAAAGUGUGUCUUCUGUUAAAGGAGGUGAUGAAGUAUUAAAGCACAUUUCCUUAGUAUUUGGAGAAUUCAGUGAGGUCUGAUUAUUGAGGUCUCACUCAGAUAAAAAGCUGCCACAACUUUAGUUUCCAACAGUUAAAGUUGUGCACAGACUGCAGUCCAGCCAGUGGUCUGCUUAUAAAGCAUAACAUUGCAUCAUAACACAGUCCAACGAUUCUCUACAUGAAAGACCAUCGUUACUGUGAAUAAACAUAAAACAAACUAGUCCAGUGAAGAAAUAAAUAGCUCGAGCUUUCAGGGUCUGGAACUGCAGCUUUUUGAAGGUGUGAUGAGUUUUUGUCCCUUUCUAGUGGAUGUUUGCAAGUAAUAGUUAUAAUGUGCACAGCAUCAUGAGCUGACAAGAGGAGCAAUGCUUUAAACUUGAGGGAUGUCUGAAUUGGUGUCACGUGCUGUUUGGCGUUUGAUUGGUUUGCAUUGUGUCUUUGCAGCAUUUGCACAUUUGAAGCAUCCGAACAACACUUUGCCUCUCUGUAUUUGACUUUAUUUAAAUCAUAUUAGAAAUUAGUUUUAAUCCAAUGCUUGUUAAAUAAAUAUUUUUUAUUUACUGUCAGAUUCAGAGUGCUUUAUUUUUAUGCCGAGAAUUGGUGCACACAAGCACACGUGCAAGUUCAAGCCUGAAAAACUUUAAUAGCCUCUGUAGCCACUAGGAGGAGCUACAUAUGCAUAAAACUGUCUGCUGUACUGCAAAAAUGAUAUGUAUGACGACCUAACUUGUUUAUUUCAUCAUCAUAUAUUUUUAU